UUGCUCGCUUUGGCAGCACAUAUGCUAAAAUAAUUGGAAUGAUAUAAAAAAUUAGCAUGGGCCCUGUGUAAGGAUGACACACAAAUUCAUGAAACAUUUCAUAUUUUU
rnacentral:snRNA from 1 species